GACGAACGCUGGCGGCGUGCUUAACACAUGCAAGUCGAACGGAAAGGCCCUGCUUUUGUGGGGUGCUCGAGUGGCGAACGGGUGAGUAACACGUGAGUAACCUGCCCUUGACUUUGGGAUAACUUCAGGAAACUGGGGCUAAUACCGGAUCGGAGCUCCUGCUGCAUGGUGGGGGUUGGAAAGUUUCGGCGGGUGGGGAUGGACUCGCGGCUUAUCAGCUUGUUGGUGGGGUAGUGGCUUACCAAGGCUUUGACGGGUAGCCGGCCUGUGAGGGUGACCGGCCACAUUGGGACUGAGAUACGGCCCAGACUCCUACGGGAGGCAGCAGUGGGGAAUAUUGCACAGUGGGCGGAAGCCUGAUGCAGCAACGCCGCGUGCGGGAUGACGGCCUUCGGGUUGUAAACCGCUUUCGCCUGUGACGAAGCGUGAGUGACGGUAAUGGGUAAAGAAGCACCGGCUAACUACGUG
rnacentral:rRNA from 1 species